rnacentral:ncRNA from 1 species
GAUUGUUGCGAUUAAGGUUGUAACAACAUGACUUGGAUUAAUUCAAGAGAGCUUAAUUCCUUCACUUGGGCAACAGGUGUAAACACAUAAAUAAUG